AGCAGCCGCGGUAAUUCCAGCUCCAAUAGCGUAUAUUAAAGUUGUUGCAGUUAAAAAGCUCGUAGUUGAAUUUCGGGGUCAGUAGGUCGGUCGUGCCACUGGUAUGAACUGGUUUUACUGAUUCCUCCCUCUUGAAGAACUGUAAUGCCAUUAAUUUGGUGUUGCAGGGAAUCAGGACUGUUACUUUGAAAAAUUAGAGUGUUUAAAGCAGGCUUUAGCUUGAAUACAUUAGCAUGGAAUAAUGAAAUAGGACGUUUGAUCCUAUUUUGUUGGUUUCUAGGAUUGACGUAAUGAUUAAUAGGGAUAGUUGGGGGCAUUAGUAUUCAAUUGUCAGAGGUGAAAUUCUUGGAUUUAUUGAAGACUAACUACUGCGAAAGCAUUUUUGCCAAGGAUGUUUUCAUUAAUCAAGAACGAAAGUUAGGGGAUCGAAGACGAUCAGAUACCGUCGUAGUCUUAACCAUAAACUAUGCCGAACUAGGGAUCGGAUGAUGUUAAUUUUUAAUGACUCAUUCGGC
rnacentral:rRNA from 1 species